rnacentral:rRNA from 1 species
AUUGAACGCUAGCGGGAUGCUUUACACAUGCAAGUCGAACGGCAGCGCGGACUUCGGUCUGGCGGCGAGUGGCGAACGGGUGAGUAAUGUAUCGGAACGUGCCCAGUAGCGGGGGAUAACUACGCGAAAGCGUAGCUAAUACCGCAUACGCCCUACGGGGGAAAGCAGGGGAUCGUAAGACCUUGCACUAUUGGAGCGGCCGAUAUCGGAUUAGCUAGUUGGUGAGGUAACGGCUCACCAAGGCGACGAUCUGUAGCUGGUUUGAGAGGACGACCAGCCACACUGGGACUGAGACACGGCCCAGACUCCUACGGGAGGCAGCAGUGGGGAAUUUUGGACAAUGGGGGCAACCCUGAUCCAGCCAUCCCGCGUGUGCGAUGAAGGCCUUCGGGUUGUAAAGCACUUUUGGCAGGAAAGAAACGUCGCGGGCUAAUACCCCGUGGAACUGACGGUACCUGCAGAAUAAGCACCGGCUAACUACGUG